rnacentral:rRNA from 1 species
CCUACGGGAGGCAGCAGUGAGGAAUAUUGGUCAAUGGCCGAGAGGCUGAACCAGCCAAGUCGCGUGAGGGAAGACGGCCCUACGGGUUGUAAACCUCUUUUGUCGGGGAGCAAAGCGAGUCACGUGUGACUCAUUGAGAGUACCCGAAGAAAAAGGAUCGGCAAACUCCGUUCCAGCAGCCGCGGUAAUACGGGGGAUGCGAGCGGUAUCCGGAUUUAUUGGGUUUAAAGGGUGCGUAGGCGGAGGGGAAAGUUAGGGGUCAAAUUGCGGGGCUCAACCCCGUACUGCCGUUGAAACUGGCUCCCUUGAGUGGAAGAGAAGUAUGCGGAAUGCGUGGUGUAGCGGUGAAAUGCAUAGAGAUCACGCAGAACCCCGAUUGCGAAGGCAGCAUACCGGCGCGCAACUGACGCUGAUGCACGAAAGCGUGGGGAUCGAACAGGAUUAGAUACCCUUGUAGUC